rfam:Trichobilharzia regenti genome assembly, scaffold: TRE_scaffold0035900
GUACUGAUGAAGAGUUCCAAACUAGGACGAAACAGUUGUCCAGUAC